rnacentral:ncRNA from 1 species
AUGGCCAGGACUUUCGCAAUGUAUGGAAUGAGGGGCAAGUUCAGGAUCAGCAACACAAGGUUGCCGAUGAACAUCGACAUAAUGACGGCCCAAAAGAUCUGGGGUUCGUCGAUCAUCAGCCGUGGCCC